GACGAACGCUGGCGGCGUGCUUAACACAUGCAAGUCGAACGGUGAAGCUCCAGCUUGCUGGAGUGGAUCAGUGGCGAACGGGUGAGUAACACGUGAGCAACCUGCCCCUGACUCUGGAAUAAGCGCUGGAAACGGCGUCUAAUACUGGAUACGAGAAGGGUCCGCAUGGGCACUUUCUGGAAAGUUUUUCGGUUGGGGAUGGGCUCGCGGCCUAUCAGCUUGUUGGUGAGGUAAUGGCUCACCAAGGCGACGACGGGUAGCCGGCCUGGGAGGGCGACCGGCCACACUAGGACUGAGGCACGGCCCAGACUCCUACGGGAGGCAGCAGUGGGGAAUAUUGCACAAUGGGCGAAAGCCUGAUGCAGCGACGCCGCGUGAGGGAUGACGGCCUUCGGGUUGUAAACCUCUUUCAGCAGGGAAGAAGCGAAAGUGACGGUACCUGCAGAAGAAGCACCGGCUAACUACGUG
rnacentral:rRNA from 1 species